rnacentral:rRNA from 1 species
UUCCAGACUCCUACGGGAGGCAGCAGUGGGGAAUAUUGCACAAUGGGGGAAACCCUGAUGCAGCGACGCCGCGUGAGUGAAGAAGUAUUUCGGUAUGUAAAGCUCUAUCAGCAGGGAAGAAAAUGACGGUACCUGACUAAGAAGCCCCGGCUAACUACGUGCCAGCAGCCGCGGUAAUACGUAGGGGGCAAGCGUUAUCCGGAUUUACUGGGUGUAAAGGGAGCGUAGACGGCAUGGCAAGUCAGAUGUGAAAGCCCGGGGCUUAACCCCGGGACUGCAUUUGAAACUGUCAGGCUGGAGUGCAGGAGAGGUAAGUGGAAUUCCUAGUGUAGCGGUGAAAUGCGUAGAUAUUAGGAGGAACACCAGUGGCGAAGGCGGCUUACUGGACUGUAACUGACGUUGAGGCUCGAAAGCGUGGGGAGCAAACAGGAUUAGAUACCCGCGUACCA